GCCGGGCGUGGUGGCGCACGCCUUUAAUCCCAGCACUCGGGAGGCAGAGGCAGGCGGAUUUCUGAGUUCAAGGCCAGCCUGGUCUACAGAGUGAGUUCCAGGACAGCCAGGGCUAUACAGAGAAACCCUGUCUCGAAAAACCAAAAAAAACAAACAAACAAAAAAAAAACUAUGUGUGUAGCUCUUGCUGGCCUGGAACUCUAUUGCUUCAUAGACCAGGCUGGCCUUGAAUUCACAGAGAUCCUCAUGCCUGU
rnacentral:sRNA from 1 species